UAGUCGCGAUCCAAGUUCGGGCGGGCCCAAAUUUGGUCGCGAUCUUAUUUUUCGUGGGCCGAGUUGAUUUCGGGUUUUGCGGCCAGGAUUCUCGCGGGCCUUAUCCUUCCUCGCCCCGCAGUCAUCUUGCCCGCCCCCGGCGCCGGCCUGGCGCCAUAUGCUCUCGCCGCUGCCGACCACCGGGGACCUUCCGACCAGCCAUGGAGUCCCAGAGUUCCUUGCUCGAAUGGCCUAGCAAUCAAUCAGGUCGUUCGAUGGCAUCUUAUCACAACCCAGGCGAGGAGAUACUGAGCUUGAAGCCUUGAAGCUCUCGGGCUCUCUCAGUCUCAGAGAAGAGGGAACAGUGAUACAAGCACAGCAGCUAGCAGGCUUUGCAGGCUGUCCCAUAGCACUAGAGCAAGAGCAGGAGCAAUGGCCAUGUCCUUUGACGACCGAAGAUUGUCGCCUGGCCAUGUCUCGGCGGGCGUUGUUGGUCUCGUGUUGCCAUCUCGUCAACAAGUCUGGUUCUGGCAGGAGACAGCGCAGAAAAAGCCCCAGCUGAUUGGUACCGGCUGGCCCCUGCUGAUUCAAUGCUGCUCCCCGGUGAUUGGCCGAGCCGGUUUGGAUUCCCUCCCUCCCUGAUGGCAACGAGGAACCGUCCAAAGGGGCAUAUUCAUCUGAUCCCUGCUUAUCCUUUUACCAGUAAAACAAGUGAAAAUUCAGUUUGACAGCACCUGAUAUUCAAAAAUGACAACGACAAGGGACGCAUUUUGAAGUUUCAGUGUUGCAUUUCGUGAAAGCAAAGGGAAGAGAGGAGAAGAAGAGGACGCCAGUUCAUCCAUGGACAAGUCAAGAAGGGAAAACUGAAGAAGAGCAAGAAACACACGAGGAAAAAAUGUGUAAUAAAUCUCGAUGAGCUCGAUUCAAUGAUUUAAUAGCUGGUACGGACGCAUGGUCCAGGAUUGGUUCAUUGAACCUGGCCGGAAAAAAGUAGGUGAAGGGAUGAAUGUGCACAGAGAAAACUAGGGUACAUGUGUGUGUUUAAAACAAGAAAAGAGAGUGGCAAACGAGACAGGCCAAGUGACUCCUCUGCUAGUAGAGAGGCAUGCCAAUAUAAUGGCCAUUGGCACAUCAUCUCAUCUCCCAGAUCCAAUGAUCCAUCAUAGCGUCCCCAUGCUUAGUGAAGAGGGAGAGGCGGAGCAUGCUGCAUGGAUGUUCCAUGAUCUGUAGUGAAAGGGCCUCGUGUUGCUUGCUUCUUCCUGGUCUGAAGAUCCAUUCAGAUCUUCAGAUGUGACGGUGAAGCCCUCAGCCGCCGGUUGCAUCAUCACUUCCCUGCAUUAUUAUCACACAAAUGAAUUGCGUGGCCUUCCACGUUCACACCUGCAGUCUUCUCCCAAACAAUCUGCAGUACUCAACUGCAUCGAUCCUUCAUGGUCGCUACACAAAUCUGGGUCAAAUACAGUUCCUUCUGUGUUUUCUAAAGCUAAAAUAUGGACCACUUGACGCUGUGUUCAGUGGCGUUUCAGUAUGUAUAGCAACUCUAAAAAAAAACUGUGCCAUAUACUUGUCACUGGCAUGUGGCCCUGUGACCCUAGCUAGGUCCCACAUGUCAGAUAAAGAAUCAAGAUAUAAUCCUCCAAGUUGUAUAUAGUAUGUUGAUAAUUACAAGUCAGAACUAGACUAGUAUAUCAGAAUUAGAAUUAAGAACACAAUCACGCGAUAAGUUAUCACAUGCUGACGAUACAGAUAUUUCCACAAGCAUCCCUGUCUCACAAAAA